rnacentral:rRNA from 1 species
CAGUCGCCGCGGUAAUCCGUAGGCGGCAAGCGUUGUCCGGAAUUAUUAGGCGUAAAGGGAGCGCAGGUGGGACGGUAAGUCCGUCUUAAAAGGCAGGGGCUCAGCCCCUGUAAGGGAUGGAAACUAUCGAUCUUGAGUGCCGGAGAGGAAAGCGGAAUUCCCAGUGUAGCGGUGAAAUGCGUAGAUAUUGGGAAGAACACCAGUGGCGAAGGCGGCUUUCUGGACGGCAACUGACACUGAGGCUCGAAAGCCAGGGGAGCGAACGGGAUUAGAUACCCCAGUAGUCCCUGUCUCUUAUACA